rnacentral:rRNA from 1 species
GACGAACGCUGGCGGCAUGCCUAACACAUGCAAGUCGAACGAGACCUUCGGGCCUAUGGGCGCACGGGUGCUUAACGCGUGGGAACCUGCCCGUAGGUUCGCAAUAACUCCCCGAAAGGGGUGCUAAGACCGGUGAAUGUCAUCGGACCAAAGAUCUAUCGCGGUUGGGUGGGCGCGCGUUGGAUUAGUCAGUUGGUAGGGUAAAAGCCUACCAAGGCGACGAUCCAUAGCUGGUCGGGGAGGAGGAUAAGCCACACUGGGAAUGAGACACGGCCCAGACUGGUACGCGAGGGAGGAGAGGAGUAUAUAGGAGGCUGGGCAAAAGCGUGAUACAGCAAUGCGGCGUGAGUGAUGAAGGCCGUAGGGUUGUAAAGCUCUUUUAGCCGGGAUGAUAAUGACAGUACCGGGAGAAUAAGCUCCGGCUAACUACGUG